GUGAGUGAGAAGGGUAAGAGUGGGCGGUGAGGCUUGGAGAGGAGGAGACUUUCCUGAGGUCUCAGGACAGCAGCUGGUUGGGGCAGCAAGCACUCCCAUGGCCUCCCUGUUGGGGGCCCAGGCUGGGCUCUUGGUGGGCUCCAGGGUUGUAUACUGAAUGCGUCAGGCCCCCAAGCAGACCCCUAAGCUCACUGGAGCUAAAUAAAGUGAAAUAUGGAAGACAGGCAAUUAAUAGGGCAAAGAGAGCCUUUUCAAUUCUUCUCAUAACAGCUGGGCCAAAAUGUCAAGUUUUAUACAUAUCAGAAUAUGGUGCUUUGAGUAUUAAAAUACCUCCAGAUACACAGACAUGUCUUUAUGGUUACUUGGGGAAAAGAAGUUUGAUAAGAGAGAGCUACCACGCCCAGGAGUUAAAAAAAAAAAAAAAAGUCUGAAACUCUAAACUUUUGUGAAGCUGGCUAAGAGCCAAAUGUCAGCAUUUUUCACCUCUUUUCCCAUAUGGCAGGAGGCAUUUCACACUGCUUUCCAUAAUUUCAAUAAAUCUGUACAGAGGCGGAAGGAAGAAGAGGUGAAGACCUUUGCUACUGCUUGUCUACACCUUAAGCCCAGUUAGAGGCUCGUUGUCCAUUUUAACCCGGCAAGUAGCCUGGAGCUCCUUCAAGGCUCAGCAGGGAAAUGCAGAGAUAACAAAGGAAAGCAGAGGAGGAAACUCUCUCCCCGGAGCUCUCUCCAGGCAAAAGUUGCUGAGCAGAAGGAGACAUUGCAUCCAAAGGAACAGACCCCAUGCCUGCACACCCUCAUUAGCUCUCUGCCUGGACUUUUAUUUGCCACAACUCCAGCCGUGGUCAGACCGAGAGAUCAGACCAAGUCUGGCUCUAGUGUCUCUUGUAGGAACUGCCUGGGGCCCAGACAGCUCCCACUGAGCUGCUAAAGUCCUAGCAUUGGUCACAUCCCCUCCGUGGUAACCGGGGCUGCCAGCAGUGUCCUGCUGAAUUGUUCCCUGGACUUUCUCUGCUCAGUUCCUGUGCUCCAGCUCUGAGUUUAUAAAUGUUUACCAUACCCAGAACGAGCAAAUGUUUACAGUGAACCUUUACACAGAACCCAGGAAAGCUCCCUUUUAAUCCAGAAAAAUGUCCUGGCAAAAGGGAAAAAAAAAAAAGCCCACAGUGUUCAACGUGUGCCCAGCGGCUGCCUGCUGCCUCCACCCCGACUGGCUCUUUGUAAAGGCAAUGGAGGCCCAGCCGCAGCAAGUGUCCAUGUCUGUGGUCUUUGUGGAGUUUUCAGUGAGGACCUUUAUUCAGAGAGAGUACUGUAAUCUUUCACUAUUCCCAUAAAUCAGAAAACUGCAGACGUCAAAGAGGAUUAGGUCACUUUGGGGGCUCCUGACUGAAGUUUAAGAAAGAGAGAGAGAGAGAGAGAAAAAGCAUAUUAUAUACAGUGAUAGAAGCAGGGAGGUGGGGAAAAUGUUAUGAAUUGUGUUCUGAAAAAUUCAGCUCAACAGUGCUAAUAGGGCCAAUAUUUAGGCUACAGUAUUUGGCUAGGUCUGUUAUGCAAUUCAUCUUCAGCAGGCAGACAACACAUAAUCUGAC
ensembl:lncRNA